rnacentral:lncRNA from 1 species
GUGGUGGAGAUGGUGGUGGAGGAGAUGGAGGAGGAGGCGGAGGUGAAUAUACUGGUGGUGGAGGAGAAGGCGGUGGUGGAGAAGGUGGUGGAGGAGGUGAGUAUACUGGUGGGGGUGGCGGUGGGGGGGAAGGUGGAGGCGGAGGAGGUGAAUAUACCGGCGGUGGUGGAGGAGGUGAAUAUACUGGCGGUGGUGGUGGAGGAGGUGAAUAUACUGGUGGCGGAGGUGAAGGUGGAGGUGGAGGCGGCGAGUACACAGGGGGUGGGGGAGGUGGAGAGUAAACAGGUGGAGGCAAGUAAACAGGAGGAGAAGGCACUGGCAUUGGUGGUGAAGGUGGAGGAGGAGCAGGCAAAGUAGGAACAAAAGGCUUACAUCUAAAAGAGCUACAAUCAACAGGCUUAAACGGCCUGCAUUGGGCUGCAGAUCUCUGUGACGGCCUACCUGCCAAGCAAUUCUUCG